rnacentral:rRNA from 1 species
AGAACGAACGCUGGCGGCAGGCUUAACACAUGCAAGUCGAGCGCCCCGCAAGGGGAGCGGCAGACGGGUGAGUAACACGUGGGAACGUACCCUUUACUACGGAAUAACGCAUGGAAACGUGUGCUAAUACCGUAUGUGCCCUUUGGGGGAAAGAUUUAUCGGUAAAGGAUCGGCCCGCGUUGGAUUAGCUAGUUGGUGGGGUAAAGGCCUACCAAGGCGACGAUCCAUAGCUGGUCUGAGAGGAUGAUCAGCCACAUUGGGACUGAGACACGGCCCAAACUCCUACGGGAGGCAGCAGUGGGGAAUAUUGGACAAUGGGCGCAAGCCUGAUCCAGCAAUGCCGCGUGAGUGAAGAAGGCCUUCGGGUUGUAAAGCUCUUUUACCCGGGAAGAUAGUGACUGUACCGGGAGAAUAAGCUCCGGCUAACUCCGUGCCAGCAGCCGC